rnacentral:rRNA from 1 species
UGAGGAAUAUUGGACAAUGGGCGCAAGCCUGAUCCAGCCAUGCCGCGUGUGUGAAGAAGGUCUUCGGAUUGUAAAGCACUUUAAGUUGGGAGGAAGGGCAGUAACCUAAUACGUUGCUGUCUUGACGUUACCGACAGAAUAAGCACCGGCUAACUCUGUGCCAGCAGCCGCGGUAAUACAGAGGGUGCAAGCGUUAAUCGGAAUUACUGGGCGUAAAGCGCGCGUAGGUGGUUAGUUAAGUUGGAUGUGAAAUCCCCGGGCUCAACCUGGGAACUGCAUUCAAAACUGACUGACUAGAGUAUGGUAGAGGGUGGUGGAAUUUCCUGUGUAGCGGUGAAAUGCGUAGAUAUAGGAAGGAACACCAGUGGCGAAGGCGACCACCUGGACUGAUACUGACACUGAGGUGCGAAAGCGUGGGGAGCAAACAGGAUUAGAUACCCUUGUAGUCCCUGAGCGGGCUGGCAAGGCGCAU